rnacentral:rRNA from 1 species
UACGUAGGGUGCAAGCGUUAAUCGGAAUUACUGGGCGUAAAGCGUGCGCAGGCGGCUUUGCAAGACAGAUGUGAAAUCCCCCGGGCUUAACCUGGGAACUGCAUUUGUGACUGCAUGGCUGGAGUGCGGCAGAGGGGGAUGGAAUUCCGCGUGUAGCAGUGAAAAUGCGUAGAUAUGCGGAGGAACACCGAUGGCGAAGGCAAUCCCCUGGGCCUGCACUGACU